rnacentral:tRNA from 1 species
AGGGAUUUAGCUCAGUGGCAUAAGCGCCUGCCUUGCAAGCAGGCAGGUGUGGGUUUGAUCCUCAGUACCGA